CCUGGCUCAGGAUGAACGGCUGGGCGGCGUGCCUAACACAUGCAAGUCGAGCGGGGAAGCCGGAACAUGUAGAGAUAUAUGAGAAAGCAUCCCUAGCGGCGGACGGGUGAGUAACACGUAGAGGAACCUGCCUUACACAGGGGAAUAACACCGUGAAAACGGUGCUAAUACCGCAUAACACCGCACUAUGGCAUCAUAGGAGCGGUCAAAGGAGAAAUCCGGUGUAAGAUGGCCUCGCGCCCGAUUAGUUAGUUGGUGGGGUAAUGGCCUACCAAGACUGCGAUCGGUAGCCGGACUGGAGAGGUCGAACGGCCACAUUGGAACUGAGAGACGGUCCAGACUCCUACGGGAGGCAGCAGUGGGGAAUAUUGGGCAAAAUGGGGGAAACCCUGACCCAGCAACGCCGCGUGAAGGAAGAAGGCCUUCGGGUUGUAAACUUCUUUGAUCAGGGAAGAAACAAAUGACGGUACCUGAAAAACAAGCCACGGCUAACUACGUGCCAGCCGCGGC
rnacentral:rRNA from 1 species